GUAAGUAGAGGAGAAAAAGCCAAAUGAGAAGUCUGGAGUCUCCACAUGAAUGAGAUGGGUGUGAGAAAACUAGACCAACGAGUGGAAGAACAAGAAGUCAUAUUUAAAAUUCAUUUUUAAAAGUGGAAUGAGUAUGGAAUAUUAUACAGUCAUCAAAAGGAAUGAAGUACUAACAGGUGCUACAACUCAGAUGAACUACUAAGUGAAAGAAGCAACACAAAGGACUAUAUAUUGUAUGAUUCCACGUACAUGAAAUAUCCAGAAUAGACAAACUCAGAGAAAGAAUGCAGACUAGUUGCUGCCAGGGGCUAGGGAGAGGGUGGAAUGGGGAGAAAGUGCUUGAUGGGUAAAAGGUUUUAUUUUGGAGUGAUGGAAAUGUUCUGGAACUAGACAGUGGUGCUGAUUGCACAGCAUUGUGAAUGUACUAAGUGCCACAGAAUUGCUCAUUUUAAAACGGUUAAUUUGGAAAUAAAAAGGAAAACGAAAAAGGUGGAAUAAGUAGCCUCAGGAUUUUUGAGUUCUCCGUCCCUAAAGUUGUUUGCUCCGGCAUAAACUGGAAGUUCACUCAUUAGACAUGCAGUGACAGCAGUAAUCAAGAUUGGAACAAAAUGAACCAAAGUUCC
rnacentral:lncRNA from 1 species